rnacentral:rRNA from 1 species
AUUGCAGGCUGCAACUCGCCUGCAUGAAGCUGGAAUUGCUAGUAAUCGCGGAUCAGCAAGCCGCGGUGAAUACGUUCCCGGGCCUUGUACACACCGCCCGUCACACCAUGAGAGUCGGGAACACCCGAAGUCCGUAGUCUAACCGCAAGGGGGCGCGGCCGAAGGUGGGUCCGGUAAUUGGGGUGAAGUCGUAACAAGGUAGC